UGUAGCCACUGGCCUACACCAGAGCCACAGCAAUGCAGGGUCUGAACCACGUCUGCAACCUACACCACAGCUCACGGCAACUCCAGAUCCUUAACCCACUGAGCAAGGCCAGAGAUCGAACCCACAAUCUCAUGGUUCCUAGUCAGAUUCGUUAACCACUGUGCCACGACGGGAACUCCUAUGAUGAUAUUUUAAAAUCAACUUUUUUUAUGGAAGUAAAACACGUAUAGAACAAUACAGAAAUUUUAAGUGUACAUAUUGCCGAAUUUUUACAAAGUGAAUAUAUAAAAUGCUCGUAUUAAAAGGACCCAGAUCAAAAAAUAGAACAUUUCUAGCACUCAGAAGCCUCCUCUUGCCUACUUAGAGCACUGCAGGGCAUCCGCUAUGCUAAUUUCUAACGCUAUUAGAAUAGUUUGCUUGUUGUUGUUAUGUCAUUGAUUCAUAUACUGUAGUGUGUCUGGUUUCUUUUGUUUAUUAUUAUGUUUUUGAGAUUCACUCAUGUUAUUGUUGAAUAGUUCAUUCAUAGUACUCAAUUUUAUGAGUAUAUCACAAUUUUUUUUAAUCCACUCUACUGUUGAUAGGCAUUUAGAUGAGUUUUCAUAGGCGACUAUUACAAAUAAUUUUGCUGUGGACAUCCUGUACUUGUCUUUUGAGUAAACAUAUGCCUGCUUUUCUUUGGAAAUAAUUAUUUAAGGGGAACAAUAAAAUAUAUUAAUUUAAUAUUUGCAAAAAUAUCCCUGUCAUGUAACCUAUAACCUGUGACUUUUGAUUUAACCAAAAAAUUAAAACAUAACUAUAAAAAGGAAAUGGGAGAGAGGAAUACCUUUGAGAGAGCUACAGCUUUACCUAAUGACAGGAAAUCAAUGUAUAAUGUGUAAUGUUGAAAAAUGAAGAAAGUGUUAUAAAAUAUUCAAAGUGUUAAUAUAAUUUUAGCAUUUAUAAUAGACAAAAUAAAAUUUAGGUAUUUUCCUAUUCAAAAACAAAAUUUAUAUAAAGUAAUUUAUGUGAGGAAAGUUUAUGUGUCCACCAGUUUUUUGACUUAGAACAUUGAAAUAGUGGAUUAUUGUUUAAAAAUAUGGGGAUGCUGUCAUGAGAAAUUGCUAAAGUCAUUGAAAGUAGUUAUCUCACAGGAGUGGGAAGAACCUAUUUUGUUAUAAAUCUUGUGGUACUCUCCAGCUUUUCUUUAAGCCCCCCCCCAUACUAUUUCAUUUGUUACGUCUGCAUCUAUUAUCUUAGUAAAAUGAAUGGUUUUGUUUGGUUGGUUUUUGUUUUGCACAAGGACAGUCAGCAAUAACUUGACAUAAAAAUGAUUGUGAAUCAGAUGAACGUAUCUGACUAAAUUCCAACUAAACAUACCCCAUCUCAACUUCCCUUUAGCUGGUUCCUAAAAUUGCCCUUCAUCACUCAAAGGCCGCUCAACACAAGGUGAUCGAGUUUGAGAGGAAAGUCAGAAAGAAAGGAGACAGUGGUAUUCUAAGUUACAGCAUUUUUUUUUUCAUCUAUGAUAAACAUAUGGAGCCAGCCAGAUUAUUGGGAAGUUGUGCUCCAAAAUCAGGCCUAUUGAGGAAAUGCUGUUUUAGCUGUCUCCCAAAAAACCAUAGCAAAAGGAGCCAGUUCUGACCAGGAUCUUUCUCUUUCUCCUGUUAUUUCUAGGAGAAAGAAGGCAGAGCCGGCCCCUCCAUAACUGGCAUCUUAGAACAAGACGUUAAUUGGCAAUGUAUAUAAAAUUCAGGUCAGAAUUCUCUGGUGGCACAACGUUAAGGAUCUGGCAUUGUCACUGCUGGGGCUCAGGUCACUGCUGUGGUGUAGGUUUGGUCCCUGGCCCUGGAACUUCCACAUGCCACAGGUGUAGCAAAAAGAAAAAAAAAAAGAAGAAGAAGAAAAGAAAAAAGCACCAAAACUUCAGGUGUAGGAAAGGGUAAAAAUUGGACAUUCUACACCUUCCUCUUGGAAUUCCUAUAAUUAGUUGUAUCAAGUCUAGAUUCAUUUCCCUUAUCACUGUAUUAUAAACCCUUUGUUUUAUCUGUUUCAUCUUAUGACUCUGUAAUUAAGGAUACGGAUUGUAUCUUUUCCAUUAGGUCAUGUCAGCAAAUAUUUAAUGAGUCCCUACUAUACACAGACUUUCGUGACUAUGCCAGGUAAAGGAGCAAGAAAGCCAAGGAACACAUUUUCCUGUUCUGAAGGAGCUUAAAGUCUAGUUGCAGAGCUAGGGGUUUACCCUGCAGAUAGACUCACAAGAAUUCAGCAAGUUGUGUUACAAGGAUAUUCAUUACAGCAUUAUUUGUAAUAGGGGAAAAAAGUGGGGUGAGGGGACAACCUAAACGUCCGCCAGGACAGGACCAGUGAAUUUAUAGGUCACCUUACGGUGUAACACUCUAUCGACCUUUCUUCACCAAGGCCCUAAAUCCAUGACAUAGCUUGUGGCCUUUGGGCUUAAAGUGAGAAAGGCAAGAUGGACAGCAGAGUGCAUAGUUUAUCUCUUUUGUGUAAACAAAAAUGAUACCUAUCUGGUUGCUUAUCUGUGCAGAAUGUUAGGUGAGCCAAGGCUGGCCAUGGGGCCCAGUCUGGAGCUUUGAGAUGAGUAACAGGAAUAUGCCUCAAUUCCUGGGGUCCAGCUCAUGCAGAUAAAGGCCAGAGGCAGGUCCUCUUUUGGUGCAAGCCAGGCAAGACUGGUCUUUCUUGCCUCGGGCCCUUUCCCUUCUCAUAGAUGGAGCCCCGCUAAUUUGUCAGGUUGAGGAUGGAUUUAGCGUUUGUUCCACGGGAAUGAAGUCAGUAGGAAAGCAAACCUGUGGGAAUUGCCAAUUGGUGCCGACUCCUCCUCCACAUGGCUGCUGUCCCACCAGCCCUCAUCUGGGACUGUUUCAGGCCUUUGCUGUGCGUUUACAAAUAAAACCAGGCUGCUCUGGGCACGCUUCCGAGGUGAUGCCUGGAGCCUCGCACACUUGGGCCAAAGAUUGAUACGGUGUGUGCACGCCUGGGCCGAUACACCUCUUUUGAUCUGUUUCCGAAGGCAACCUUUGGUCUCCUGCUUCACGUGAUUGAUUAAGUUAGGAUCUCUUUUAGGAAUUCUCCGCACUCAUGCCUCCUCACCAGCUCACAGCGAGCCCUGCCAAAUUUUACUCUCCUUUUAUGCUGCAGACUGUUCUGUUCCAACUGACUAAAUGGAAACUGUGUUCUUAAUAUGCAACCCGUUACCUAGUCCUUUACAUGCAAUCAGUUACCUUGGAAUUCCUGUUUUGCAUUUAGUAUGGUGGGGCACCCUCUUAUCACAUCAUCAGUCAUGUUUCUAGCAAGGUUUUGGCCUAUGAGUAGGGAGUAGCUUUGCUUCAGAGCCUUCCUUCCCCUGUGCAUCCCUGCCCUUCCCCCGACCCCCCGCCUCCUGCCCAUUUUGGUGUGAGAGUCACUGGGGAAUCAGGGUGAUAGCAUUUGUAUUAAAACAAGCCAGCGCACAUGGCUGUAGACCCUUAAGGAUCGUGGAAUGUAAGCAGACUCAUGCUAUGUUCUUUAGGCGCCGGCUGGAGAAGGGACCCUGGUUCGACGGGUCCUGGUGGAAUGGCGAUCCAAGGUGUUUCGAAGAGUUUUCCGGUCAUACAGACCUGAUUUAAACUCCUGCUCAAGCACAAUGUUUGCUGCUUUUUUUAAAAAAAAAAAAAAAGAGGGGGGGAUCCUAUCUUCCAUCUUGCACACGUGGGGAGGGAGACAGAAGCCCACAAGUGAAAGUAGAAGCACGUUCCCAGAUCCAUUUCUAAGACCUCCUUCUAUCACCUGGAACUUACAUUCUCUUUUCAAAGUGGCCCAUCCUGUAACCUACGUGAGACUGGCCCUCAGUGAAAUGUCCUAUCUGGAGCUCUUCCCUCCUUUGCUGUGGUGCUCACAACUCCUGGUACCCCACUCACUGUAUACCCAAGCCUUUCCUUCGGUCUCGCUGGACCUCUGGCGACGUCUUGUUCAGAUGUUCCAGUCUGGUCUUAGCUCUGCUCUGAGAGAUGCAAGCUGGAUAAAAGCAGUAAUGGUGCAGACCCCUCAAGAAGGGAGGGAGGUCCAGCCAUACCUCCUCGUGACGUCCUUUUCCAAACUCGUGCCAUCUGGGUUUCAUUUUAUUAGGGGAGCUAGAGGUGUGCAGGGAGGGCUGGUUAGGAAAUGAGGCUACGUCUGGCAGGGUGUUGGUGACUAUGGUAGGGAUUUUGGAUCUUAUUUUAGGCACAAGGAAAAGCCAGGAAAGGGUUUGGGGUAGUGAACUGACAUGGUUUGAUUUAUGAUUUUUUUAAUUUAUUUAUUAUUAUUAUUGUGCUUUUUAGGGCUGCACCUGUAGCAUAUGGAGACUCCCAGGCUAGGGGUCCAGUCGGAGCCACAGCCAUAGCAACACAGGGUCCUAUACCACAGCUCACUGCAAUGCCAGAUCCUUAACCCACUGAGCAAGGCCAGGGAUCGAACCCGCACCUCAUGAAUACUAGCUGGCUUCAUCUCCGCUGAGCCACAAUAGAAAUUCCAUGAUUUAUGAUUUUAAAACAUCCCUAGGACUGCUGUGUGGAGAAGAGAGAAUAGGGGACAAGACGGCUACAAGAAGAGCAGCUGAAUGGCUGCAGCACUCAGGCAAGAGAUGUUGACUGGCUUUGUGUGCUGUUCAAGCGGUGAGAAGUCAUCAGACUCAGGAUGUGCUUUGAAGAUAAAGCCCACAGGCCUCGUGAAGGACAGCAUGUCAGGUGUGAGGGAGAAUGAGCACUCAGGGCCUGAGCAGCUGGGUGAAUGGCCAUGCUGUUUACUAAGAAGGGGAGAGGCGGGGGCAGAGCUGGUUUGGGACAAGAAUCAAGAGGUAGGUUUUAAGCAUGGAAACUUUGGGAUAUUUAUCAGACAUCCAAGUAUCCAGAGCUCAGGAAGAGGCUGAGUCUAGACAUACAAAUAUGAGCAUCCUUAGCACAUUGAUAAUAUCGGGGCCAUGGGUGGAGUUACUCAGAGAUUGCAUGUAGGUAGAGAAGAGAGGAGGUCCAAGGACUGAACAUGGGUCACUCCUACACUUAUAAAUUUGGACGAGGAGAAAGAGCUACCCCCAAGCUCACUGCCCUGCUCUAGCAGUUUUGUGGAAGUCUCUGCCUGGUUUCCUGGGGCCUCCCAGUCCAGAACUAAGCCCUAUAUAUUAGUGACAGGCUCCUGACCCAAAAUGACCUUGAGUAUCUCGUGGAUUUAGUUCUGGCCCAGGUCCUGGUGGCUUCUUCCUUUAAGCUGGAACCAGAGGUCCCAAGCGGCCGUUUGGCCUCCUUUGCAACCCGGGAGCCUGCCUCUAGACUGAGACCAGCAAACAAAUGGCUUCACCCACUUAUGCUACUGUCUUUCCAUUUUGUGUCUGAACCACAGAGUUGAUUAUUUUGCCUUAGAAAGAAGAUAUGAAUAUGUUGUGACUUCUUAACUUUAUCUGUCAUGCUAUGUGCUUGGGGACUGUGGAGCCAGACGUCUGCCAGGCAAGGGGCAUUGCCAUUUUGCCUGGGGCACCAACAUUUUGAUUUUUAAGAGCUUGUCUAUGGUUCAGCCCCUAAGUCACUCACUUAUAUAAUGUUUAUUGACAGAUAACUGUGAACAAUUAUGAAAUACAGAGUAAGAUAUGGUUCUUGCUCUGCAGGAGCUUAAAAUCAAGCCAGGCAGUUGAAAGCCACAAACGUCACCUGAGGAAUGACAUCCGAGUGUGCAUUCCUCUGUGGAUCUGCGCAGGCACAGUGCCGAGCACAUAGAAGAUUCUCAACACCUGUGAAAGGAACAAGCCCACCGGGGUGAUCAUUGCCCAGAGGCACAGAUUGUCAGUCACAGAUGCCACCAGAGCCAGGGAGGAGGAGAAGGCAAGGGCCGCGCGCGGUCGGAGAAAGUGGAGGGAGAUGACAUUGGAAGCCACGAGAAGGAGAUGGAUGUUUUAGAGGGACCCCGGGCCUGCUGAUGCGCAAGGCAGUCUGUGCCUGCCCGGGCAUGGAGGCACUGCCCUGGAGUGAUCUUGGCCGUCCCAGCAGGGACACUGCCAGUGUACCAGCCCGUGCAUUAUCCCGCAAGACAGGAGGAAGUCAAGCUCCAUCCUUCAGACCUGGGCCCCUGAGCCUAGGUGGCUGCCGAUGCUGCCGAGGGGCAAACACAGAUGUUCACAGAGCCCAGUGGAGGACCUGGACGUUGGGAGGAGACGGCACUUCAGUCACUCAUGCGAACCCAUCUGAGUGCUGCAGGGGUCUUGGCUCCAAUUCGUUUUAUUUCCUCCCUCACAAGAACAAGAUCCCAAUUUAAAACAAAUGCUCAGUUUACCAAACAGAAAAGGAAAACAGUAGAUGAUAAGACAAAACAAAAAAGAGCAUGUUCUCAGCCAUCUUUGUUCUAUUAUCGCCAUAUUUUGUCUUCCAAAAGAAGCAUCUUUACAUGCAAAUCCAUUUUUGUAUAUUUUGACUGAUUGCUGGCAAGAUAGAGAGACAUAAAUAUUUCUGGAAAUGGACACGACAUAAACAUAUCAUUAGCCAGGCUGCAAGUGCGUGCAUGUGUGUGUGUGUGUGUGCGUGUGUGUGGUUUGAAAAAUAUUUAUGGCGAGUUCGUCAACAGACCUCAUCUCUCUGAUCAAGAGUCUUUCAGGACUUGGGAACAUCAAGCCUGGAGAGGAGAGACAGGAGAGUUUCUGGGAGCUUGAGGAACAUUCCAGAUUUUUAAGUGUUAAUUAGGUUAGAAAGCCACCAUCUGCACACUCUCUCGCAACCCUUCUGAUUAUCUGUCAUGAUUUUUAAAUGUAUGAAGCAUGCCGAGUCGUCCCCCACGACGCUGAUGUUGCUUUAGAAAUUCCAGCUGUUGCAAAGCUCUUUUUAAUGACAUUACUCCCAGCCACUGUGAGGGGCAAGGCGUUUGCGACCUCAAACUCUAGUAGAGCCAGGGCUGUAGAAUCCAUGUAAAGAAAGGAUUGCCAUGUUCCCUUUUCCUUUUUAAAACCAGACCUCGUCGCAGUGAGCCCCUUCUCCAACAAGGAAGGAUGGAGUGUAAAGACGUUAGCAGCCGAGUUGAGAUGGCAGUGUUUUCACGUCUGGGAUAUAUUGCUUUGUCUAACAAGGCGCCCCAGCAGGCUUCCAAUUGCGGUCUCUCUGCAGACCCUCCCAGCUGCACAGGCUGAUUGACAGACUGUGGGCAGAUGCGGUGCCAGACUCUAAUAAAGAGAGGGCCUUGGGAAAAUAUAAGGCAAUUAUUGAUGGGCAGCAAUCCACUAAUCAGACAAUUUCAAAAUUAAUCCCAUAUUCCCUUACUGUAUUAGCUUUCUUUCUUGUUUGUAUUUAUAUAGCAAAUUCAUGACUUCAGUGAAAAUUCUUCCCUCCAGCCCAAUUAUAUCUCUCCGAGGGCAUUAAAUUAAAAAACAAGAGAUAUUGAAAGUGGCUUGCAAUUAGUUUCUUUAGUUAAAGGUGCUGUGUGCACUUAGCGACGGUGGGGUUCAUAACAGGAUGCAUAAUAAUAAAAGUAAACACUCAUAUUUUUUUCCCUCGUCUUGACAGGGUGAGGACUGGUAAGAGUAAUGUGUCUAGCAUUACUCUGGACCAGUGAUAAUGGGGUAAAUAAUUGUGAUUUGAUUUUGAAGCUGAUUGGAUUUGCAUAAAAUCCUACUCAGAUGUCUUGUCAGGCUCCGAACAUGUCGGGGUACCCCACCCUCCUCCUUUGCCAUUUGUCCAUCCGUCCAUCUAUCCCGGUGGCCUCCUCUGACUUUCCUGGGUCUCGGUACCUACGUGGAUUCUUUACAAUGAAGUCAUUCAGAGAAAACCCAGCCAGCUUCUAUUCCAGGUUUCACAUGCAGGAUUACCUUCCAAGUAUUGAUAUGAAACUUUUAAAUAUACAGAAAGGCGUUUUGAAUAGUUAGCCAGUUACUAUUACAGGAGCCUAUCUCUCUAUUACCGUUUCCACCCUCAUUUUAUCUCCCGUCUUCACCACAUGGCCCAUUUUUUUGACCUGAAACAGAUGGAAUUCUCCCUUUGUUCCCUAUUAAAAAUUGCUUCUGCAGAACGCUUUCUGAUUGCCCAAGUUUACUACAUAAACUGAGAAAGUUCAAGUAUCAGCCCAAUUGGGGGGAUUUAUAAGCCAGAGUCUGGUGUUAGGGGUCUGAAGCAUGUGACUGUCGGGCCUGCCUGCCCUCCCAGCCUCGGCAGACUCUCUCUCCCCACAUCCGAACAGUCUCAGCUAUGUUGCAGUCUGCUCUGUGGAUCCCGUCUUGUUGGCAGGAGAGAUUGAAGCAGCUCCGGUCCAGCCUCAUUGAGUACCUUUGGAUGCUCUUCCCUUUCUCCCCUGGCCCCAGGUCUAGCCACUGACCUGGUGGCUAGUUUGGAAAAGCCACUACCCUUCCCUCCUAUGCCUGCAGUGACAUCGGCAAACAAUCGUUAUUGGAAGCAGUCUUAGAAUGUUGUCUUAGAAAAUCUGGAUGAAUCGGAUGCAUCCAGUCAUCAGAGUCAAGAAGAGAAGGCUGGAUGUGAAGCUGAGAAGAGUGAAUGAGGGGGGGCUUUCCAUUCCAGAUGGUUGGGAUGGGGAGUGAGAGGAAGGGAAGAAGGUGCAACCAUGGAAUUGAGUGGAGAAUAUGCAGAGCCGUGGAGGGACUCAUGAGGAGCCCAGCCUGCCUGGAGCCAAAGGGCAGAGAUGAGGUCAAACAAGCAGAGGGGAAACCGAAUCGUGUUCAAUAUGGUGCCUCAUGACUCAAGAUCAAUGAGUCAGAGCCAACAUGCCGCCUGGCCAAGACCAAGCCCCACCUUACCCAGACCCAGGUCGGGGGCUCAGUCCUCUGUGCCUGUGUCCUCGUUUCUGCGGCCUUCACAGAAUACCAUUCUCCUUAAGACUAGGGUCCUGGGCGUGAGGCUCGGCCACUUGUACAAAACUUCCCUAGUGCAGACUGUCUGCCUGGCUCUGGUAUAUCACUUGUUCCUGGCUGUCCAUCUCUGGACCUAUGGGGACACCUUCCUUGAGACCUCACUGUUGAGACUUGCCAGUGGCUGCUGCUAUUUGUUUUCAUGCCCUUUAGAUGUCACAUUCCACUGCUAUACUUGCCUUCUUCUCAGAACCUGCAACACCCCAGCUGGCGGGUCUGGUUCCAGGUUCCACUGCUGCUGUUACCCAUGCAUAGCUGUGCCAGGAGAUGUAACACUUUCCAGGCAAGGAGAUGAAACCAUGCCUAAUCUUAAGUUUUCCAUGCAAUGCCAACCCAUGGAAGGGAAGUUAAAAGGUAUCUCAAAAAAAUGCAAGACAUGAAUUUUUCCUUCUCUAAAAAGGGGGGAAAAAUGUGCAAACUAACUAGGAGUUAGAGCUUCAAAUCAGUGUCACAGAAGAAAUACAAAGAGGGAGUUCCUGCUGCGAUGCAGCUGGGUCGGUGGUGUCUCUGAAGCGCUGGAAUGCAGGCUUGCUCCCCAGCUCUGCACAGUGGCUUAAGCAUCUGGUGUUGCCACAGCUGCAGGGUAGGUCACAGCUGUGGCUCAGCUCUGGUGCCUGGCCCAGGAACUCCAUAUGCCACCAGACAGCUAAAAAAGCAAAAAGCAAAAAGAAAAGAAAAGAAAAAAAGAAAUACAAAGAAGAGAAGACUGAUGGAGUAGGCGUUGAAGGUAUAAUAGAUGGCUUAAAAUACUGAAGGCCAUAUGAGUCAAUGCAUUUCUGAAAGGCCCUAAGAGUUGGAAUGAGGUCAAUGAGAGGAGCCCACAGGAAGUCAGGUUUUGACUUUAUCCAAGGAAAUAGUUUCUAAAAGCCAGAGGAUUACCUAAUAGACAGUGACAGCCUCUCACUGUGGCUGUUCAAGCAGAGGCUGGACAACAGUUUAGCAAGGAAGUGACUUUGGAACUUUGGCUUCACAUGGGAAGUGUGACUUCAAGGUCACUUUCAGCCUUAGGAAGAAAUGAUUUGUUGUGACUACAGGAAAAAAAGUGAUAAGGCCAGUCUCUCUGCACCUAUUGAAGCUAACUGGUUCUGAAGGGAGUUGGCAUCUAUCUUGAUGAAGUCCCAGCAGGUCAAAGGAAGAAGCAGGUAUUGGGAUUUCGAGACCUUUCCCCAGUGUCUCUUCUAACAUAGCUAGAAGUUGUGUUCAAAAGUUUUAUACCCCGUUAGCUCCAUUCGUCCCAAAGCAACCUUUACCUUGGUUAUUAAAGUCUUUCUUGCCACCCACAGAAACUCCAACCAAGGCCCAGGGGCAGAUGUUCUUUUUAAUGGCUUUUCCAUAUGGAUGGUUUAUACCAUGGAGACCUAGAAACUCUCUUGUCAGGCCCCUCCUCAAGUUCUAGCAGCUCUCCACUGCCUACUACAGUGGCCUCCUCCUUAGCCUGGUGGCCACAGCCCUUGAAGUCCACUUCCCCUCUGCUGGUCCAGCCUCAUCUCUGCCCGUUUUGCUCCAGGCAGGCCAGGCUCCCCAGGCAUCCCUCCACACACUCCGAACAUUCUCCCCUCUGUGCCUUAGUUUCCCCUUCCUCCCUUUUGCUCACUCCACAUCCAAACAGUGUGAAAUGGAAAGCCCUCCUCCCACUUUCCAGCUUCUUCACAUCCAUCCUUUUCUUCUUGAGCUGCUGAUUGGCUGCUCCCAACACCUGAUUCACCUCUGCACCUAAAAGCCCCUGAACUUCAAGAGACGCCUUCUUCCAAAUGGAGUAGGACUUCAGCGGGGCAGGGAGGAGACAGACACAACUGAAAACAGAGUCUUCCUCACGGCCCCUCCUUGGCUGGAGGUGCUUAGUCAAUGUCAAAAGCAACAGGAUGUUUGGGGGAGCACGAGGCACCUGAGUGAGUGACUCGUGCUGGGGGCAAAUGCUGCCUGGGUGGAACGGUCUUUGAGCGACCUUUUUUUCAAGUCCCAUGUGUGACACUCUGUCUCUGACCUGUGGAGUCAGCCCUGUGGAAGCCCCAGAACAGGUAGGGUCAGGAAUGCUGUCCACAUAGAUGAAGCAGAAGGCUAUCAAGUCAUAGGUAAGUCAGGACUCUUGUUGGGAAGUGGCUCGCUGCUCUGAAAACCUGAGAGCACGGUGGGUCAAGUUGUGUUUUAUCUGUAGGGAAAAGAGAGGGUGCUGGAGUGGAAGGCUUGGGUUCCAGUUCCACCUUUUCUACUUACUAUUCAUCUUUGCUAUAUUGCUGAAUCUCAGUUUCCACAUCUGUAUAAUAGUGAUAAUAAUACCUGUUUUCAUGGCUGGUGUCAGGAUCAAAUUGAAAGGUGAUUUGCAAAGUGUAAAAUGUUAGUAAAAAAAAAAAAAUGGAGUUCCCAGAGAUGAGGCUGGACCAGCAGAGGGGAAGUGGACUUCAAGUGGACUUCAAACCCAACUAGAAUCCAUGAGGACUCAGGUUCGAUCCCUGGCCUCACUCGGCAGGUUAAGGACCCAGCAUUGCCGUGAGCUGUGGUGAAGGUCGCAGACGUGGCUCGGAUCCCGAGUUGCUUUG